rnacentral:rRNA from 1 species
GACGAACGCUGGCGGCGUGCUUAACACAUGCAAGUCGAGCGGUAAGGCCCUUUCGGGGGUACACGAGCGGCGAACGGGUGAGUAAUACGUAGGUAACCUGCCCUCGAGACCGGGAUAACCUUCCGAAAGGAGGGCUAAUACCGGAUAAGACCACGAAGUUUCGGCUUCGGGGUCAAAGGUGGCCUCUGCAUGCAAGCUAUCACUCGAAGAUGGGCCUGCGCACCAUUAGCUAGUUGGCGAGGUAACGGCUCACCAAGGCGAAGAUGGUUAGCUGGUCUGAGAGGAUGACCAGCCACACUGGGACUGAGACACGGCCCAGACUCCUACGGGAGGCAGCAGUGGGGAAUAUUGGACAAUGGGGGAAACCCUGAUCCAGCGACGCCGCGUGGGUGAUGAAGG